rnacentral:rRNA from 1 species
CCUUAAGGUGGGGAAAACCUCGGGAAACUGAGGCUAAUACCGAAUGUGGCGCGGAGGCAUCCUUCCAGCGCUAAAGGGGGCCGCAAGGCUCCCCCUUUUCGAGGAGCUCGCGCACCAGUCAGCUUGUUGGCGGGUAACGCCACCAAGGCUUACGGUUAGCUGGUCUGAGAGGAUGGCCAGCCGCACUGGGACUGAGAUACUGCCCAGACUCCUACGGGAGGCUGCAGUCGAGGAUCAUUCGCAAUGGGGGAAACCCUGACGAUGCGACGCUGCGUGGAGGACGACGGCCUUCGGGUUGUAAACUCCUGUCAUCGGGGAAAAGGCGAGGGGGCCCAAUACGUCCCUUAGUUGAUGGUACCCGAAGAGGAAGCGACGGCUAACUCUGUGCCAGCAGCCGC